ACACACUCCCACCUUUGUGUGCCUCUUGCCCAAAAAACUGAACCUGAAUCUGAUUAAGCUUCUAGAUUCAACUACCAAUUAGCAUAAUCACAAAUAUGGAAGAUAGAAGAACAUGUUAACCAACACCACAGGAUGACAGCAGCAAAACUCAGUCUGUGAUCCUGAGUUACUUGUUCUUCCCUCAGUGGGAUUAAGAGUUCCUUUCAUUCAGGAAAAGAAUCAGGCAACUAUUAAAAUCCAAGGUCUCCUGGCAGAGUUGAAGUGUACAACCAGUUCCUGAUCAAAGCUACACCAUGAUACUGUCUAGAAGAGAUUAAGAGACAGCCAGGCAGAAAGACCUGGAUAACUGUGUUGAGAAGGACACUGUCAAAUACUGCCAAAUAGUUUAGCUACCCAGGCAGCCACCCAUCCAGAAGGACUGUAAAAACAAACUAAUCCUUUUAACAGAGCUACAAGAAUACAGUUACAGGUACUUUAUAUGGAUACAAAUUGUGAAAGGACCAAGUCCCUAGUGAUUGUGCCUUGGGACUCUGUAGAGACUAUGCCUUUGGGAAACAAAUGGGAAAGGAAAAUAAAACAAGAAAUAAGUCAAAGGAUGAAUUGAAAACUAGAAGUUAAAGGAUAUUAUAUAUGAACAACAGAAAUUUCGUAAAGCACAAAAUUCUAACAAUCGUGUCGUCAACGGUGUCCCUUUAACAUAUAAAAGGGGGGGCACAAAUAAUGUUUUUGUUUUUAAAACUCUUUUAACAACUUAGUCUUAAUAGUACGAAUCAAUUUACUAGAAUUAAGCCAGUGUUCUUUUACAUCCACUGGGCCAAGAGCAUUAAAACAAAAACCCCAAAAACCAAAGAGCCAGUAAAUAUAGCCAAAAACAAAACUGGACCAAGUAAAACAAAAGACCCAAACUAAACAAAUAUUCAAUCAGGCAGACACACACAAACACCCUGAAAAGAAGUCUUAGCCAUUGCAAUUAAAGUGGCAUCCCCAUUACCUAGAAAAUGGUGGUGGCUGUUUUUCCCCAGUUUGCCACUAAUCAACAUUCUGGCAAUACUGAAGUAUCAUUUGGUCCAAUCCGAAGUAAAUCUCACUUAAACUGAAACUCAUCUAAUGAAACUGCAGUAUUAUAAUAACAUCUGGGCCAAUUCAGCAGAUACAUUACUGUCUAGAGAGAAGUUACUAAAUACUGAUGCCUUUUUAUUUAACAAGGCAUUUCUUUCCUACUCAUCUUUACUUUUAACAAUUUGAUUAUAGUUUUGUCAUGGCCAGCAGACCUACCCAGUUAAGCUGCGUAUUUCAGCGUCCUUUGGCAAAGGGACUAUACUUACUGAACACACAGAUAUGCACAGCACACAACUAGUGAGAAAGCGUGAGGGAGCUGGGAAACAUAAAACACCAAGUACAAUGCCACAUCGGACUUCAAGUUAAGGGGAAAAAAGAAGAAAAAAAAUCUAAAAAUAAAUGCACCUGUUCAAAGCGUUCUUAAAAAUAUAACAUGUAUAUUUCAUGAAGAGUGAUAUUAGUUUUCUCCUACCUGUCUUUUAAGAUGCUUUUGCUCCACCUCAGUUGUUACUCAACAGUGAUUGAAUUAAGAGUAAUGUUCCUCACAAAGUUACGGCCCUGGGCUUUGCAUUCACUCGUGUCUAAUGUCACAUGCACAGGGUGGGUGUAAUUUUGAUGCUCCAGUUUUGUUAACUGUAAUUGUUAGUAGCAUGGAGUUAUACAGAGUUUUGCACAGCAUCGCAUGUGAAGGUGCAAAUACUAUAUGCAAUUCAGAUAUGAACACUACAUUCGAAGGACAGUUGAGCAUGUAGGUGUCAAGAACACAGCAGAAGGAGAAAGCCCAUCCCUUGGAAGCACAGUUUCAGAGUGCGCCUGCACCAGAGUCCUCUGUCACUGUGCUGUGGGAUUUCUGACACUGAGGUGGGCAGUUUCAUAGCCUGCAGUUUAUAAAUUAGCUUUCAUUUCCAUAAUUUAAGCUGGCACACAGAAUUAAGGGGAGCAUGGCAGCAGUACAAAAGUCCUGAUUAGAAAAAUCAAACCAGAGGAUCUAAAUAGGAAUUUUUUAAUCUCUUAAAUUAAAUUUACAUGGCUCCUGUGAAAUGAGGAGAACGUCCACUCUAGCAUAAUUAUUGCCCCUAAUGCCCCAAUGUAUAAUAGUCUGUAUGAAUCAGUAAUUCACAUCCUUUAAAAUAGUUAUUGCUUAAGCAAGCCACUCAGAGUAGAUUAUUAGCCAUGGGCUACAUGGCUGAAGAGAAACAUACUCAAAAAGUUAGACUACAUAUGAAUGAGCCUUUCAUUUCACUCAUAAACCCACAUAAAUACAUGAUCAAAAGGGCACCAGGUUCAUAGCAGCUAACACCCUAAACCAACUCUGAAGCAUCAAGACUUGAUUUCUUACUAAAACAAAUCUGCUCUUUUUUGUAUUUUCUUCUUAAAAUUAAGGCAAUGAAAUGGCUACAGUUCCUAAAGUUCUUUUCAUGGAACAAAAAUAUACAUGUAUUUUCCUCCUCAAGUUCAGUCAUCAGAGUAUGAUUAGAGACCUGUAUUACACAAAACCUGCAACACCAGGCUGAUGUUACAAAAAAGAAAGAGCGAGAGUGUGUGCUACAAGAAACCAACAAAUACCUGGUGUGUUUUCUUCCUGCUCAGUUACAAACCUUAUCAACAAAGGGAGGAAAAGUCUGAAAGCACAAAACCUCUUAGGAGUUUCCAAUGUCUUUUGCAUUGAUUCAAAACUUUUGGGGUGGCAGAAGGGAGGAGCUUAUUAAAAUGAAGAAUCCAAGGCCCAACACACAGAAAUUCUGACUCCGAGGAUCUACUGUUGGGCCCAAGAAUCUACCUUUUCAACCAGCUCCUCGAGUGAUGCAGGUGAUGUAUGGACAACAUUUUGGGAAACAAUGGGGAGUACAUGUCCAUCUAAUGUUUAAUUUAACAAAAAUUCUAAACUUUGGCUAGCCACCUAAUGUUUUGAUAAAGGGGGAAAGGCACUGAAUAUGCAUUUCAUGGUGCCCAUAUCUGUUUGCACAUAUAUGGAAUUGAAAUCUUAAAUCACCAUUCAAAAUCUACAAGACAUAUAUGACAGACUGUGGCUAACACCCAACAGCAGAAGCUGAUUCAAAGGUGACCUCUCCUGUUUCACUGCAUUACAUAUCAAACUUUCAGGCUUUCCAAAAUCCAAACGGCCAAAGAACUGAAGAACAGGACAAGACUCAAGUCAGCUUUUAGCAAUUCAGUGCACUUUGCAGAAAGAUCUAAA